rnacentral:rRNA from 1 species
GAUGAACGCUGGCGGCGUGCCUAAUACAUGCAAGUCGAGCGAAUGGAUUAAGAGCUUGCUCUUAUGAAGUUAGCGGCGGACGGGUGAGUAACACGUGAGUAACCUGCCCUUGACUCUGGGAUAACUGCGGGAAACUGUAGCUAAUACCGGAUAGGACCCUCGGCGGCAUCGCCAGGGGGUGGAAAGAAUUUCGGUCAAGGAUGGACUCGCGGCCUAUCAGCUAGUUGGUGAGGUAACGGCUCACCAAGGCGACGACGGGUAGCCGGCCUGAGAGGGUGACCGGCCACACUGGGACUGAGACACGGCCCAGACUCCUACGGGAGGCAGCAGUGGGGAAUAUUGCACAAUGGGCGCAAGCCUGAUGCAGCGACGCCGCGUGAGGGACGACGGCCUUCGGGUUGUAAACCUCUUUCAGCAUCGACGAAGCGAAAGUGACGGUAGGUGCAGAAGAAGGACCGGCCAACUACGUGCCAGCAGCCGCAGUAA